rnacentral:rRNA from 1 species
AUUGAACGCUGGCGGCAGGCCUAACACAUGCAAGUCGAGCGAGUGGCGGACGGGUGAGUACUGUCUGGGAAACUGCCUGAUGGAGGGGGAUAACUACUGGAAACGGUAGCUAAUACCGCAUACCAUCAGAUGUGCCCAGAUGGGAUUAGCUAGUAGGUGAGGUAACGGCUCACCUAGGCGACGAUCCCUAGCUGGUCUGAGAGGAUGACCAGGUAAACUGGAACUGAGACACGGUCCAGACUCCGACGGGAGGAAGCAGUGGGGAAUAUUGCACAAUGGGCGAAAGCCUGAUGCAGCCAUGCCGCGUGUAUGAAGAAGGCCUUCGGGUUGUAAAGUACGUUCAGCGGGGAGGCGUUACCCGCAGAAGAAGCACCGGCGAACUCCGUGCCAGCAGCCGCGGUAAUUC